rnacentral:misc_RNA from 1 species
GAGGCCCACACUCGAGCAGUAGAAGAACAAGCUCUACACGAAGUAGCAAACCUAGAAGUUCAGUAUCUGAAUAUGAGGAACCAUCAAAGCCUUCAAGUUUUAAACAGGAACCAGAACCUACCGAGUCCAGAGAUCAUCUGAAAAAGUUUUCAUCCAGAAGAAAACGCACACAAGAACCAAGUAGAUCAAUCGACCACUCGACUCAAGAUUCAGGACAUGGUAAUAG